AUGAUGCAGUUGUCAUUGGAGUUUGUGUGUUUCUUGUCCCAUUGACAAUGUCAUCUACUGGUUUGAUCCCUUGGGUCGUCGUCCAAGCAGUGAGAUGAGGGGCGUUUUCAACACGGCUUUAAAGACUUAUUAUAUAACCGGUGGGAAGCGUUCCGGGAAAAAUGGCUCAACAACUUGGGUAUAUCCUAGUUGUGCUAAGCAACAAGGGCCAACAGAGUGCGGAUAUUACAUUAUCCGUUAUAU